GAGUCCAAGAUCAAUAACGUCGUGAAUGUCUCUAGAGAUAUCAACAUUCAACCGAGACCCCGCAAGUGCCAAGCUACAUGGAAAAGAUAACAAAGUGAGCUCACAAAAAACUCAUUUGUCAGACUAAAGAACUCAACCGGCAGAAGUUUCUCUUACCUUGAAGCUCAAGACCGGUGAGACAACAAAACAAAAGCAAAAAGAUAUCUACAAUCCAACCUAGCAGUAGGGAAGAGAAAUUCAUAGCCGAUUGAGGGGGAAAAGGAGGCGGCCUCCCCUGUCUGAUGGGAUAAAAGAGGCCGAUUGAGCAGUAUAAUAAGGGUUUGAAACUCCUGACUCAAAGAACUAGAUGAACAAAGAAAAAGUCUCUCUUCACAAGAGAGAGGAUAACAGAUAUUUGAAUGAGAGACGAUUAAAGAAUCUCAAAUAUCACCAAGAAGAAAAGACUAAUUAAUACAGGUAAGCAGAAUGAGCAUUUUUUCGAUUCAUGCACGAUUUAAAAAAUAAUUAUCAGUUCAUGCAGAAUCCGAAAAUAUUUUCGGAUUCUGUGUGUCAACGGAGCAUGUUCGACAGUCAUACUGUCGAACACGCUAGUUCGACAACAAUGGGGAGUUCGACAUCAUGUCUGAUGUGGUGUGUUCGACAUCCAAAGUGCCGAACAGCCUAUAAAGUGGACAUGUGGACAUCCUUGCAUGCAUGACAUGUCUCAUGCAUGCAAAGGGUGCCUUACAUGCAUGACACAUGUCAUGCAUGCAAGGCACUUUUCAGGAGACCCAUGUGGUACUGUGCAUGCAAGUCACUUUGAAUGUCGAAUGGGGCGCUGUGCAUGCAGGUCAUUUUGGGUGGAGUGCCUGCAUGCAUGAAACAUGUUAUGCAUAAGGGGUGCCUUGCAUGCAUGACAUGUGUUCAUGCAUGCAAGCCACUGUCUGGGUAAAGGAGACCCACGCACAGCUACGCGGGGAGGAGACUUUAAGUCUCCUUCCAUACACCAUCUUUCUGCUUUCAUCUUCUCAUUCUCUAUUUUAUCUCUCAAAUUUUUUCUUCUCAGCAUUUUCUUCUUCAAAAUUUUUUAGUAUUUUUUUUUCCAAAUUUCUUCAGCAAUUUCUUCUCCCUUUCCAGCUCCUUCCUCAACAGAUUUCCUUCUUCACCUUUCAACAUUUCCAUUAUCAUCAGGUUCUUUUUUUACUUAAAUUUAUUUUUAAAUAUAGAUAUUUUUUUAUAUAUAAAAAUAAAAUUAUAAAAUAUAAUUUUAUAUAUAAAUAUAAUUUUAAUUAUUAUAUGUAUUAAAAAUUUAAGUAUAAUAUUUUUUAUUUUUAAAAUUUAAUUAUGUAAAUACUAAAUGGUAAUAAUAAUUAUUUUUCAAAUUUCUGUUCAUGCCACUGGACCGGCCAGGGAGCAGUGAACAGUUUGUUCGACACCAUGGGUGCCGAAGAAGCUGAUGAACUGGCAGUUCGACAUUCAUGGUGUCGAACUCCCCAUUGUUCGACACUAUGAGUGUCGAACUAACACGAACUAACACGCUCCGUUGACACACAGAAUCCGAAAAUAUUUUCGGAUUCUACAUGAACUGAUAAUUAUUUUUUAAAUUGUGCAUGAAUCGAAAAAAUGCUCA
rnacentral:lncRNA from 1 species